rnacentral:lncRNA from 1 species
UAAGAUAUUCUCUGUAUAAUAUUAUUCCGAUUACGUAAUUAAUUAUUUAUACGUAUUUACUAAUUAUAUGCAAUUAAUGCAAUCUUAAGUCUUAAGUCUAAGACAAGUAAGUCACAUUUCUUUAAAUCUUGCGAGGGUACGGAACACGCUGUAUGAAACAUUCUCUCUAUAUUUUUAUAUCGCAUUCAUGUGUACAAUAACACGUACUUGCAGUAACGUUUAUUUGUUCCGCUUUUAUCUCUAUAUCUUUAUAUCUCUAUGGUUCUAUAAUAAUUAAUUAUCACUUUCUCGCUUAUAACAUAUUUAUUAGCUUUAUCAUGAAAUUUAUUAUCAAACCAAUUAACCAAAGCAUAUGUUUUAGCUUAAUAACAAUAGGGAAAUCCAGAAAUUUGAUAUUACUGCUACAAGCCUCUCCUAAAUAUUCACAAAUAUUAUAUACAAUAAGGUUAUUAUAUAUAAAUACUGCUACCUGUCCAGUUAGAUUAAUCUCCAUGAAUUCAUACUGCUUUUCCCAUAGAUUUUCGUAUACUAUGUCACAAUUCAAUUUUCUUUCUGUACAAAAUCAUAAUACUUAUCCCUUAUCAUCCCAAUGCUCGAUAAUGGGACACAUAAAAGGAUGUUGAUUUUAAUAAAUUUCUUGCAUAAUCUUUUAUUACUUCUGCACUUAUUAUUUCAUAGCUUGACUACAUGGCCAGGUUGUGGAAGAAAUUCAGUGUCACACAGUGGAAUGAUAUAAAUAAGCAUUAGGGAUGACAAAUAAACAUUGGAACAAUGAUCUUGUAAUCUUUAAUGUGAAGUAGCAAUGUAAGAAAUGUAACGUAUCAAAUUAGUGGUUAAUGUAAAGUGGCUAAUGUAGAGUAUACUUUGCCACAUAAAAGAAACAAAUGUAAUAUUUUAUGCGAUAUGGAGACAAAACUCUAUAACUUGGUCAGAUCAGAUCAAACGAAGCAGCCAUACAAGAACCUUUUUGGAUUGCCUACCUAUUUCAUUAUUUGUUUUCUUCUAGACUAUAAAUAUAGGAUUAAAAUAUAUCAUCCUGGGAGUUUCAAAAAUCUGCUAGAUCAAAAUAUAUUAGCAUGCUAUAUUGCAGUGCAUAUUAGAAAAUACUUUUUGGUUACAAUAGAGUUCACAAAACUGUUACAGCAAGAAUAAUAGCUUUAUAUUUGAACUAUUCAUUGGACUCAACUUUUGAACCUUGUGGAUCAUGUGGAAACUGUCUAGCAAUAAAAAAUUCAAGUCACCCAAAUGUGACUGAAGCUGAUGCAACAAGUCACACUAGCAUUGAGGAUAUUAAAAUGAAGUACACUUGUUAUCGUUCUUAAAGAGGAUAAGAUGAUCACUUACCAUUAGCAUCGAUUAUUAUCGAUUGAGCACAAAAGAAUUUUUGGAGAACGGUAUUAUAGGCAAAAGCGUUUUACCAUACCCGAGUCCGAUAAUUCAUGUCAAAAAGAAAAAUGUUUAAAAUAGGAUGAUUAAAAAAAGAUUUCUUAUAUCAUUUCAUAUUUUUUCUUCAUGCUUCCAUCAAUCAAUUCAAAUAAUCGAUUAUAAUCCAUAACAUAAUUUGGUUUCCUAAUCAUUUCUUUUGUGCGAUAAUGAAUUUUCAUGUCAACGAAUUCUUGAGUGUGAAAAGUAGACAACAUUAUACACUUUCUUUUUGUUACACCAUUUCAUAGCUAACAAAUCAUUUGAGGAACGAAAACUCGCUUCAACCGUUUUUAAUUUAUUAUCGAUAAUUUGCAUGCCUUUCUUUGUAUCCUCAAACGUCCGAAAAUAAAAAUUUUUAUUUUUUUGCAAUUGAAAUGUAUUAAAUAAAGGCAAUUUAGAGCAAUAAAGGCAAUAGAGCUUGCUGGUUAUUUUCGUAAAUUUGUACCUGUAUUACCAAGCUUACAGAAAACAAUGAACCGUGAGCCUGGGGCACCGAACAGAGGAAACACGGUAAUAUGUAAAAUUGCUAUUAUAAUAACCGUUACUUGUGAUAUUCGAUCCUGCUAAAGAAACAAAAUUACAUGGAAAAACGAGCUCGAUAGGCUACAGGGUUAUUCUAUUUCAAAAGAUGAACGGAAAGCAGCGAGCAUUUGCAUAUUCAAUCGGGGACAACGACGGAGGAGUCCAAGUACCAAUCGUAUAAGCUCGAAAUAAUACCGAUACUUGAUCGAUAUUGACGCUCAAGGCAUACUGGAUCUUUAAUUAUGUUUUUUAUGUUUACAAAUAUAUUUUUAUUUUAUGAA